rnacentral:rRNA from 1 species
UUUCAACGAAAGGGAUACGCCAGAGUAAUUUGGAUUAAUUACCUUAUAGUAAUACGACUUGGCAUCAAGAUGUAUUUAAAGAUUUAUCGGUGAAAGAUGAGCAUGCGUCCCAUUAGCUUGUUGGUAAGGUAACGGCUUACCAAGGCAACGAUGGGUAGGGGUCCUGAGAGGGAGAUCCCCCACACUGGUACUGAGACACGGACCAGACUCCUACGGGAGGCAGCAGUGAGGAAUAUUGGACAAUGGGCGCAAGCCUGAUCCAGCCAUGCCGCGUGCAGGAUGACGGUCCUAUGGAUUGUAAACUGCUUUUGUACAGGAAGAAACCCUUUCACGUGUGGAAGAUUGACGGUACUGUAAGAAUAAGGAUCGGCUAACUCCGUG